AUACGCGCAGAAACGUUUUACCCUUCUGUGAGGCCGGGGCAGGGACGGAGAGCUCGGGACGUGUUGCGCUUGAGUUUACUAAUAUCCUCCUCCUAGCCGAGAAAAUAGAAAAGCAAGAAGAUUUGAGGCACGUGAGACACACGUUAGGCACGUGUUGUCCUGAUGCGCACGCGCGGGAGUCUACGGCUGUGGUGUAUCUUCCUUGUGUGCAGUCUGAGGUCACCUCAGGGUGGUGAGGCUGGGUGAGGCGAGGCUUCUGAGGCCGGCGCAGUCACUAACUUGGGCCUAUUGGCGGAGCUUGGGCCUGGGGUCCUGGUCCCAACCCCAGGAGUCAGUCGAGGAGGAGCGGCUCAGGUUCCCUUCCCCACACCCUGCGCCUCGUUCCUCAGGGUUGCCCAAAAAUAUGAAGACUGAUAACACAUCACCCUACGCAUCCAAGACUGUUCAGCAGUUUCUUCUCAAUCAUGGCAUAUCUUAUAUAUUUGGCAUACUAUAUAACCCCACAGGUCAAGCCAUUAUGGAACAUACAAAUCAAACUAUAAAGAGCUUCCUUCAAAAAUAAAAAGGGGGAGUUGGGGUGUACCAAGUGACACAGGGGGAUAUAGAUAAAGUCAUAUAUACUAUAUAUUAUGUAAAAUUUGGUUCCCAAGACCUGAGUUGGGCUAUGAAGUUUUAUAGAUCAAAAGGCACAACAGGGCUUAAUCAAGCCACUAAACACAAAAGCCCCCCUAAAGACACGGAACUCGUGUGAAAAGACCCCCGUAAGGUAUUAAUCUGGGGACCAGGCUAUGCUUGUAUCUCAACAGAUGGAGCUGAACAGUAGGUUCCUUCAAGACAUCCCAAGGUUAUCAUUAACACCUAGAAGACACAGGAGAAGGCAAUGCCUGUCAAGAAGAAAGAUGAACACACCCAUUCAACAGAUGAUAAUUGCUCUUGCAAUGUUGGCACCAUCUCCAUCUGCUGCCAAAGGGGAGAAUCAUUAUUGACCAUCAUGAUGGACCUUCAUGGCUGAGAAUAACUGUGGGGGGUGAUAAAAUUACCUAAUGUGGUACUCUGGGGAAAUGGAUCUCAUUUGGUAUGUGACUAAUUCAUGUUGCAAGGAACAGGGAACAAAAUGGUACUGUCAGUAAAGUAUAACUUUACAGGCCUUACCUUAUUUCCACCUUUAUGUUGGACAAGAAAAACACAUCCAUGUUGUGUACAAGUGCACAUACAACAUGAGUGUUCCAGGAAUGGGGCUCCACCAAGUCUACCUUUGAGGAGAGCAAAGGAUGCCUUGCCCAAAUACUUCUGUCUUAUGUGCAGGAGGAUUGGACAAUUGCAAACUGAAUAAUGAGUUUGGGUGGCCCUUUCUAGAACCAUGUGUUGGACAUUUUUGUAUUUGUGUGAACUUGACAGAGAAUGUUGUUCAAUCUUGGCAUGUAACUAAGGAACAUUCUUAUUAAGAAUUAAUAUUAAUUCUUUAUUAAUUAAUUAAGAAAUAAUUAAGGAACAAUUCUUAUAAAGAAUUGCCUGUGCUCAUGUGGAUACCAGCAAUAGGGAAUCCAUGUGGAAGGUGCUCCUUGCCAUGGAUUACGUAGUGAUAACACAAGAAUUGGGCACUCAAUAUAGAACAUGGAAGGAACUCAUUCGUGGACAACAGGAACAAAGAUAGGGCAUGUGAUGGAAGCUAGGCCAUGCUUAGAGAGAGAAAAUAGGCAUUUAUGUAGGGAAAUUAUAUGUUACAAAUCAAGGUGAAUAUUUUAAUGUGAUCUGUAAAAACUGUACUGUUAUUGAAUAUGAUGCAAGUGAACUCUGGAAAAAUUGUGUAAAAUAAUUACUGAAACCAUGUCUCCUUUGAUGUGCAAAAGAAGAGAGAUCAGUGUCUCCCCGGCUCCAAGGAAUCUAGAGGGAAGACCCAUCCUCCCAGGAUGAGCUAAGAAGCAUUAUUCAAGGGCAAAUCAACUCCCAUUGAUCUUUUGGUGAGUCACAUCCUCAUUCAGGAAAUUCUAAUUUUCAUUCAAUUGAAAAAUCCUGGUCUGAUUAUCAAUUCAAACUGCCCCAGAUUUGCUAAUAAUGUGGUUCUUUGCCAGUCAUUCUUUGCAAAAAUUUUCUUCAUUAAGAAAAUCUGCCCACUAAGGGAAAGCAUGUAGUAAAAAAAAAAAUAAAACCUUUUUGCCACAGAAUUUGGUGUAUUGAAUUCUUUCGCUUCUAAACCUGCCUCUCUGAGCAGGGAGAAUCUCAUUCAUUCAGAAUGGGAUCUCCUUCAUACACUCAUCAUGAAAUGCGUAGGCCCGAAAUUGGUCAGUCCCAGACCAUGUUUGUCAUUACUAGGACCCAUGUAGCUAUGAUUCCAGUCAAAAAUGAAGACUGGUGGUAUAGCAAAACAGACCACAUAUUUGACAUCAUUAUAAGAAAAAAAGAGUAUCCAGUAGUUCACAGAACUAAACGAUGUAUCAGUUGUGUCAUUUGAGGUAUCACAUUGUUGGUGGCUCUGAUUGCAUCAUCUAUUUCAUUAACAGUAUCUAUUUCUGAAGUAUAGAAUAGCAUAGUGCAUGUACAGUAUGUCAAGAACUAGCUAAAAAUAUGUCAGUAGGAUUUUCUAACUAGACAAUCAAUUUUAUAUGAUGAUAACCUACAUUGAAAAUAGGAGUGGAAGUUGAACUGCUUGAAAUACGAUAAUACACAAUCUGAAUCUGUAUGUGAUGAAUCUCCAAUACAAUGAAUUGAGGUCAGAUUAUUCUUCAGAUGAGAACAGAAAGCAUUUAAAUGGUCUAUUCCUCAAUAACACCAUAGCAGAUGAUAUAGAAAGUUUGUACAAAUUGGGCUUCAGUCAUUGAAAAAGCUUCUUUCUCAUGCAGAAAGAAAUCCACAUAAGAUGACAGAAAAAAAUUAUAAAUUGGUUUGAUAAUUCCUCCAGUUGGUGGUGGGGUAUUGAACACAUUGGAGUGUCAUAAUUGUUAUUUUAUUUAUUUUAUUGUGUGGACCCACACACACAAUGGACUUAAAAAACAAUAAGGGGGAAUGGUGAGGUGAAUCCAUGGGAAUGAAAGGCAUUUCCUUCUUUUCAGGGUAUGACAAGAAGUUGGCAUGUGUACAUGUGAGCAGGGAAAUAGCCAGGGUUUACAGCUAGUUGCUGACUCUGCAAGGAUGUUCCCAUGGAACUGCUUAUUUGGCAGUUAGCAGCUGAUGCACUGGGUUGGCUCUCCUCUGAUUGGUGUUCCUUCACUGUCUACAAGGUGCUCAUGCAGGUUUUCUGCAUAGUGAUUGGGGAAUGCUCACUGAUCAUGCUUGCUGAAUCAUAUAAUACAAAGGCUGUGCUGCUCAAUAAAGUGAAGUCUUUUUCUUACCA